rnacentral:rRNA from 1 species
CUACGGGAGGCUGCAGUGGGGAAUAUUGGACAAUGGGGGAAACCCUGAUCCAGCAAUGCCGCGUGUGUGAAGAAGGCCUGCGGGUUGUAAAGCACUUUCGGUUGGGAGGACUGCUUCUAGCACUAAUAUUGUUGGAAGUUGACGUUACCUUCAGAAGAAGCACCGGCUAACUCCGUGCCAGCAGCCGCGGUAAUACGGAGGGUGCAAGCGUUAAUCGGAAUUACUGGGCGUAAAGCGCGCGUAGGCGGCUAGAUCAGUCGGGUGUGAAAUCCCCGGGCUUAACCUGGGAACUGCAUCCGAUACUGUCUAGCUUGAGUACAGGAGAGGAGGGUGGAAUUCCACGUGUAGCGGUGAAAUGCGUAGAGAUGUGGAGGAACACCAAUGGCGAAGGCAGCUCUCUGGCCUGAUACUGACGCUGAGGUGCGAAAGCGCGGGGAGCAAACAGGAUUAGAUACCCCCGUAGUC